CCCCGACGUGCACCAGCCGGGGGUCCAGGUCCUCGAAGAAGUGCAUGUCCGACGUGUUGAAGCACGGGUCGUCGUAGAAAUCGUCGGCGGCCGCGAAGGAGCAGAGGGAGCCCUCCGUCAUCUCCAUGGGGCCCAGUAGAUGUUUUGGACUGUGUACAAGUUUGUUCUUUCACUGUAUCCAGCGCUGAAAAAUGAUACGUCCCAAGGAGAUCAGCUAUUGACCACCCUUACUCAUUUAGAAGUGUAUCUCCCAGCUGUUCUGAGAGGCAGAGUAGCAGGCUUGUGGAAACACUGCUGUUAUUAUAGAGGUUCUUUGAUCCAGAAGGAACGAACAGAUUUUUUUUUUUUUUGAAAUCUUCACUAAACAGCUAAAAGUGAAAAUAACUUGUAUUCAAAAUAAUGUUACACGCACAAUAACAGAAAAAGUACAAAUGAGAAAUAGUUUUAUGCUGUAACGCUGAACGUGGCCCUUGGAAUAUCAAGGCUUGGUGCUGGCCGUGUGACCUACUCAAAACACACAAACUCUUUGCAGAUCAUUAGAUUAAUUUGUGGAAAAGGUCAUUUUCCUAAUACUUACCUCAUGCAGUAGCAUAUUCUGCCACUGUAAGCGUGCUUCUAGGUUAUAUUUGACCCCUUAAAAAAGCAUUGUCGGACUUGCACACAGAGCGGUGAAUUUGGGCAAAGUGGUAACAAAUGGCUGGACUUGGACAAGCGAUACAAGAGAGACUGUAACUGUGCAUGAACAUGCUUAAGUGCAUGAAUUCACUUAAGUGAAAAAGUCAGGAGGAAGCCAUGAGCAGCUGGUGAACUCUGCUCAGAGGGGUCUUCCAGUGAAGCUGCCUUUGAAGACUUAUCUCGUGCUGCUGCCACCAAAACUCACAUUCACUUCCCAGUAUUUUGCCCACAGACACGUUUGUCCAGAAAGAUGUUGCCUUCUGCGGUAUGCCUGAAAGAAGUCCUUGCAAAACACAAAAUCCUGAGCUGCUCUUCUCAAUUUUGUGUGGCCAUUGUGGAGAAGAGGAAGGACAGCACGUUCUCCAUAGACUGGUAUGGUUGAAAUGAAGAUGAGAAGGCAGAGGCAGAUCGUACAUGCUGUGCUACAAAGCAUGGAGAGGCUCAUCCUAUUCACAACUGACAGAGGAUAAACUGGGAAAAUAGCUGAUUGUGAGUUCACCUAAAAUUAACAGAACUGUCUUUUCAGGCAGAGGGUCCAGAAGGUAUUUUUGAAGAGGGAGAGAAAAAGGCCUGAAGUCUGAAAAUGUGCUGGUAACACUUGGCUGCAGAGGUGAAGGUAAGAAUCUUAGAAACACACAUGGCACUAUUUCAGGGAAAAAGGAGCAGCGAGUAAGUCCUGCAUUGAAAAGUGUUUGUUUGUUGUUGUGGUAAAAUUCAUUUAAGAUGAAUUUCUUGGAAGCUGUGCCUAUGCUGUAGAAAGGUAACCGCUCUUAAAGGAGGAGCCUGUUGUAGAAGUCAGUUUAGCAUUGCCUCUACUACUUGUUUUUAUUUGGCACUGGUUUAUAACUCAACUAGCCGUUUUGCUCAAUUCAUAUUAAGUGAGCUAUAUUUUAAUACUGAGAAGGAUGGAUUCCAUUGCUCUUAUUCAUGUUGGGUUGUAGUCAGUGGAACUAAUUGUUGAAUAAGGUAUGCUCAGCGUGAGAGUGGGUGUUGGAAUCCAGCCCAGAUGGAAAUAUCUUUUAAAUUACUGAUGUAUUCAAGAGCAGCCAUCCCCAACAGACAAAUCUAGCAUGUUCCUAACAGUGAUUUCUCCCUAACCACCCCUGCCCCUGAAAAGCUAAAUCAUUAUUAACAGAAAGUCUGAGGAAGCAUCAGCCUUGUAAUUGUCUAUCCUGUGUUGCAACGCUACCAGAAAUGAAGUAAGCUAAUGCAGUUCUACUGAAAUGGGAAUUAACUGCAGCUGUGCAUCAAAGUCAAGAGUUUUCUGACCAUGUUUCAUUGUGCAGUGUUCUUACCUUAAUAGUCUUCUAGCAUUUAUUUAAUUCUGGGGUCUACUCUUUUUGUCUUUGAAGCCAUAUGUCCAACUUCCUCCACAGCAGGUAAGUACUGGUACUGUUUUGUAUUUGUAUGCAAAAAUCUCUUGGAGAAGAGAUUUGUGUUGUAAAAUGAGGAAUACGCCGUAGAUGCUACGUGCCACUUUUUAAUAUUCAACUGAAUUUAUUUUUCAACCAUGACAGGUGUAUCAUUUACACUGUUACAUAAAAGUGUAAGAAUCUUUCAACAAAGCAAAACCCAAAUGCAUAAAAAAGUGGUAUAUUAAAAAAAAAAAAGCUAUGUAGCUGAUCUAGCCACUUCCUCUUCUUGUAGCCAGCCCAUGUUGAGAAAGAGAGGCACUCUUGUAGGAGGCGAGAGGAACUUCCCAUGAUAUAAUAUGCUGAUGAUCACAGAGUCCAACUCCUGACUCCACACAGGGCAACCUAAGAGUUAAACCACGUAUCUAAAAGUACUGUCCAAGUCUUUUUGAACAUUAGAUGUGAACCCCUGAUUUACCUCAUCUGCUUUCUGAGGAUGAGAAAAGGCAAGUAAGU